AUUGAACGCUGGCGGCAGGCCUAACACAUGCAAGUCGAGCGGAUGAAGGGAGCUUGCUCCUGGAUUCAGCGGCGGACGGGUGAGUAAUGCCUAGGAACCUGCCUGGUAGUGGGGGAUAACGUCCGGAAACGGGCGCUAAUACCGCAUACGUCCUGAGGGAGAAAGUGGGGGAUCCUCGGACCUCACGCUAUCAGAUGAGCCUAGGUCGGAUUAGCUAGUUGGUGGGGUAAAGGCCUGCCAAGGCGACGAUCCGUAACUGGUCUGAGAGGAUGAUCAGUCACACUGGAACUGAGACACGGUCCAGACUCCUACGGGAGGCAGCAGUGGGGAAUAUUGGACAAUGGGCGAAAGCCUGAUCCAGCCAUGCCGCGUGUGUGAAGAAGGUCUUCGGAUUGUAAAGCACUUUAAGUUGGGAGGAAGGGCAGUAAGUUAAUACCUUGCUGUUUUGACGUUACCAACAGAAUAAGCACCGGCUAACUUCGUG
rnacentral:rRNA from 1 species